UCCCCUAAAAAAGGAAUAACCUCCCCAUAAACUGCUACUCCUGUAAUCUGUGAUCUAGGUUUUGCUACUUUGGGUUGAUAAUAGCCCGUAUGAGAAAGAGGGAGAGAGAAAACCCAUGUUUGAUUUGUGCCCGUUACCGCAAGUUUGAAGAAGCUGAGGUUUGUGAGAUUUGCGUCUAUGCCUUUUCUAAUUUCUUAUCUGGAGUACAAUUACUUGCACGAAUGUCCAAGAAAAUACUGAACAUGGAAUGCAUACAUAUAUCUUGUUUGGAUAUCUGGAUAAGGUAAACAAAAACUAUGAUCUCAAAACUUUGUUUAUCUUUGACUAGAUAUGAUUGAUAAAGGGUAACUUAUACUUGUGGAAUUGGUUUAGGUUUUUGCAAAAGGAGAUCACGAUGUAUUCCAUUUUUUCCCUUUAAAACUAAUGUUUUCCUUGUUUAUGAAGUAUAAAUCAUUGGAUUUUGGUUGUGAUUUCCCUUGAAAGAGGGGAAGCUUUUUCUUCGAUUUCAUGGUUGAUGGGUCGUUAGACAAUUUGCAUAUCAAAGGCUCCUUGGCUGUGUGAGUACUCUAUUUAACAGUUACGACAAUCUAUUUUACAGUCUUGUUUCCAUGCCUUUGCCUCCUCUCGUGCUAUGUGCUUAUAUACUUGGUAUGAAUGAAAUACGCAUAGCUGGUUCCUCGUACCUUAGGAAAAUGUAGCAGAUAUGAUUUUGUGAUAGACAACAAGAACCAGUAGUCUAAAAUUUUAACAUCAAAAUAUUUAGUUGGCAAUAACAAGGAGAAACCAAGCAAUUAUCAGUAUGUCACCCUAGAGUUUGAAUUGGCAGACAUACACAGACAUGCACAUCAAAAGAAACAUCGCAGUUGAAUCUUGAUGAGGUAGAAAAAAUGGUUACUCUCGGGGUUCAGCCAAUAAGGACAAACGUAGGCACCACCUCCUGCUGUGAGAGACAUGCCAAACCAAUGUGAUGUGAACAUUAAAUAACAUUGUUCAGAGAUAUCUUAAAAUACAUGUUGUAUAGUACAGAAGCAGGUGUUGGAUGUAUCCUGGUUCUGUUCAACCACAAAGCUUAUGUAUACUUUUCAGAAAGAAAGACUAACAUGGUUCACUAUCUUAAAAUACAUGUUGUAUAUAACAAAAGCAACAUUCUGCUUUCAAAAUCCUAGAAAAUUGCAGUUUCAUUGUUUUAGAAUAGUUCAUCAGAGUAGUUUAAUUGUUUUGGAAUAGUUUCAUUGUUUUAGGGUAGUUCAUCAGGUAAUUCUAGUAUUUAUCCUAAUUCUAAAUUGUUUAGUCUUAAAAACAUUUUCCAGCCGAGUAUUUCAAGUAAUUUAAUAGUACCAU